UGAGGAAUAUUGCGCAAUGGGCGAAAGCCUGACGCAGCGACGCCGCGUGGGGGAUGAAGGUCUUCGGAUUGUAAACCCCUUUCGGGAGGGAAGAUGGAACGGGCAACCGUUCGGACGGUACCUCCAGAAGCAGCCACGGCUAACUUCGUGCCAGCAGCCGCGGUAAUACGAAGGUGGCAAGCGUUGUUCGGAUUUACUGGGCGUACAGGGUGCGUAGGCGGUUCGGUAAGCCCUUCGGGAAAACUCCAGGCUCAACCUGGAAAGUUCGGAGGGGACUGCCGGGCUAGAGGACGGGAGAGGAGCGCGGAAUUCCCGGUGUAGCGGUGAAAUGCGUAGAGAUCGGGAGGAAGGCCGGUGGCGAAGGCGGCGCUCUGGAACGUUCCUGACGCUGAGGCACGAAAGCGUGGGGAGCAAACAGG
rnacentral:rRNA from 1 species